ACGGGUGAGUAAUACAUAGGUAACCUGCCCCUGUGCGGGGGAUAACAGGAGGAAACUCCUGCUAAUACCGCAUAGCCAUGAGCACCGCAUGGAGCUCAUGCCAAAUAUCCUUUCGGGGAUAGCGCAGGGAUGGACCUAUGGCGCAUUAGCUGGUUGGCGGGGCAACGGCCCACCAAGGCAACGAUGCGUAGCCGGCCUGAGAGGGCGGACGGCCACAUUGGGACUGAGACACGGCCCAGACUCCUACGGGAGGCAGCAGUAGGGAAUUUUCGGCAAUGGGGGAAACCCUGACCGAGCAACGCCGCGUGAGCGAAGAAGGCCUUCGGGUCGUAAAGCUCUGUUGUAAAGGAAGAACGGCGCAUACAGGAAAUGGUAUGCGAGUGACGGUACUUUACCAGAAAGCCACGGCUAACUACGUGCCAGCAGCCGCGGUAAUACGUAGGUGGCGAGCGUUAUCCGGAAUCAUUGGGCGUAAAGAGGGAGCAGGCGGCCGCAAGGGUCUGUGGUGAAAGACCGAAGCUAAACUUCGGUAAGCCAUGGAAACCGGGCGGCUAGAGUGCGGAAGAGGAUCGUGGAAUUCCAUGUGUAGCGGUGAAAUGCGUAGAUAUAUGGAGGAACGCCAGUGGCGAAGGCGACGG
rnacentral:rRNA from 1 species